AGCGAACGCUGGCGGCAGGCUUAACACAUGCAAGUCGAACGGGCACUCCGUUGUUAGUGGCUGACGGGGGAGUAACACGUUGGAACGUACCUUUCGGUUCGGAAUAAUCCAUUGAAAUUUGGACUAAUACCGGGUACGCCCUUCGGGGGAAAGGUUCAUCGCCGAUGGAUCGGCCCGCGUCUGAUUAGCUGGUUGGUGAGGUAAUGGCGCACCAAGGCGACGAUCAGUAGCUGGUCUGAGAGGAUGAUCAGCCACAUUGGAACUGGGCCACGGCCCAAACUCCUGCGGGAGGGAGCAGUGGGGAAUAUUGGACAAUGGCCGCAAGCAUGAUCGAGCCAUGCCGGGUGAGUGAUGAAGGCCUGAGGGUUGUAAAGCUCUUUUGUCCGGCAAGAUAAUGACGGUACCGGAAGAAUAAGCCCCGGCUAACUUCGUG
rnacentral:rRNA from 1 species